rnacentral:lncRNA from 1 species
GGCCAGCGCCUGGGCGGGAAGGGGUUAAACUGGGACAAACUGGGACAGACUGGGACAAACUGGGACCAACUGGGACAAACUGGGACAAACUGGGACAGACUGGGACCGACUGGGGUGGAGAAACUGGGUUAAACUGGGACACAGGGACUGCGCCCGCCUUGGCGUCCUCGGCCAGCGCCUGGGCGGGAAGGGGUUAAACUGGGACCAACUGGGACCAACUGGGACAAACUGGGACAGACUGGGACAAACUGGGACAAACUGGGACCGACUGGGACAGACUGGGACAGACUGGGACAAACUGGGACAAACUGGGACGGACUGGGAGAAACUGGGACAAACUGGGACAAACUGGGACCGACUGGGAUGGAGAAACUGGGUUAAACUGGGACACAGGGACUGCGCCCGCCUUGGCGUCCUCGGCCAGCGCCUGGGCGGGAAGGGGUUAAACUGGGACCAACUGGGACAAACUGGGACAAACUGGGAUGGACUGGGGUGGAGAAACUGGGAGAAACUGGGUUAGACUGGAAGGGAUUGGAAUGGACAGGGAAGGACUGGGUGUGCCCAGGUGUAUCCCAGAUGUAUCCCAGGUGUAUCCCAGGUGUAUCCCGGGUGUAUCCCAGGUGUAUCUCAGGUGUAUCCCAGGUGUAUCCCAGGUCUAUCCCAGGUGUAUCUCAGGUGUAUCCCAGGUGUAUCCCAGGUGUAUCCCAGGUGUAUCCCAGGUGUAUCCCAGGUGUAUCCCAGGUGUAUCCCAGAUGUAUCCCGGGUGUAUCUCAGGUGUAUCCCAGCUGUACCUGGGUGUACCCAGGUGUAUCCCAGGUGUAUCUCAGGUGUAUCCCAGCUGUGCCCAGGUGUGCCCAGCUGUAUCCCAGAUGUAUCCCAGGUGUAUCUCAGGUGUAUCCCGGGUGUAUCCCGGGUGUAUCCCAGGUGUAUCCCGGGUGUAUCCCGGGUGUAUCCCAGGUGUAUCCCGGGUGUAUCUCAGGUCUAUCCCAGGUGUAUCCCGGGUGUAUCUCAGGUGUAUCCCAGGUGUAUCCCAGGUGUAUCCCAGCUGUGCCCAGCUGUGCCCAGCUGUGCCCAGAUGUGUACCUUGCGCAGCAGCUGGCGCGUGCCGUCGCAGAGCGGCGCGUGCGAGAAGAGGCAGCCGUCGCCGCUGGCGCAGAGCCCGGUGGUGUGGAAGAGCUUGCACGGGAAAUCCCGUGGGAACGUCAAGGAGCGCAACGGGAUGGGGAAAAGGGGGUUAGACCCGGGUUAGACCGGGGUUAGACCGG